CUCUCUCUCUCUCUCUCGUGACACCCUCAAUUUUAGCGCAUAAAAACAACCACCAAGUACCCUUAAAUACCCGCCACAAACACCACUUUAUCACUCCCUAACCGCUGAUACUAACCACCACCACCACUGCCACCACCCUACCGCAAACCAUGAAGCCCUCUCCUUUCUUCUUUCUUCUUCUCGUUUCUAUGGUUUCUAAAUUCCCAUUCUCCCAGUCGGUCUACCAUGAAUACCAAGAAGCAUUAUCUAAGUCCAUUCUUUUCUUCGAAGGCCAAAGGUCUGGCUAUUUGCCUCAAGACCAACGCAUCACCUGGCGAGCCAAUUCAGGCCUCAGCGAUGGCUGGACCUACAAUACAGACCUCACCGGCGGGUACUACGACGCUGGUGAUAAUGUGAAAUUUGGGUUUCCGAUGGCAUUCACUACCACAAUGUUGGCUUGGAGCGUCAUCGAAUUCGGAGACUUAAUGCCUCCAAACGAGCUCAGAAAUACUAUGAUCGCUAUUCGUUGGGCUACCGAUUAUCUGCUCAAGACUGUUUCUCAGCCUAACCGGAUUUUUGUUCAGGUAAUGGUAGUUUUGUAAUUUACUGAGUAUGGGUUGGGGCAGUUGAUUUUCUGGGGUUAGUUUUGUCGUGGUUGAACUAAUCAGGAAGCAGGUUCAGGAAUCCUUCGUUUUGUGGGCUUCUGUAGUCCACAAGUUGUCAGGCAUUGACCAUUUUGACUCCUCACAAGCCAUCCUUUAUCUUUAUACAUUGGAAAGUAACCCAAGCCGUCCCCCAGCCCCUGACAUGACAAUUUAUUAGUCGGAGAGUUUAGGUCAAAUAUCGAUGAGUUCACGGGUCUAAUUCCAUUAUUUGGAUUACCAGUGCAUUAAUGUCAGUUUAAUUGACUAAAAUCCAACCACUACUUUAUUACUACCUCCAACACUGUAAUGAUAUAAUUUUUUUAUUAACUAAAAUCGAGGGUGUGAGAAUUUGAAUAUAAAUAAUAAAAAAAUUCAGAUUUUAGAUGACCGUGGCUUUGCCACCCAUCAAGAGAAAUGUGAGCCAGCCCCAUAUGGUACAUGACAAAUUAUAUGGUACUUUCGGUGCAUAUAAAUAAGAUUGCAUAUUUGUAUGAAUUGCGACUACACUUAUCAAUCUCUCUUCUUUUAUAACAUUAAAAGAGGGGCUGCGGCUGCACAAGGGCUAGAUGCUACUAGCGGUCUCAUAAAGGAACCAUCAUAAAGGAGCCAACUAAUGAAGAGGACCAUAUUUCUUCAUUGGAUCACACCACUGGACCACUCCCCUUCUUCUUCUUCUUUUUUUUUAUUUUACAUCAAAGUUCGUGAACGUGUAUGGGUCAUCAAAGAGUGUCCCCAUUUGUCUAUUCUCGAUAUAAGAGAUGCCCCAGAUGGAAAUUUUAUCCCAAGCGCUCAGUCUGCGACUGGCUUCACUUUUUUUCUACGUUGAAAACGUCUUCGACAUUACCAAGGAACCUUAUUUGAGGGGUGCAUUUAUCAUCGAGAUUAAUAUUGUCGAGGUUGAGUUUCUUUUAUCAUAAUUAUUUGAAUUUGUUUGUUUGAUGUUUAACUUCUUGGUAUAGGUGGGGGAUCCAAAUGUAGACCAUAUUUGUUGGGAGAGGCCGGAGGAUAUGGAUACUCCUAGGACUGUCUAUUCAGUAGAUGCACCAAAUCCGGCAUCGGAUGUCGCCGGUGAGACUGCAGCCGCUUUGGCAGCUUCAUCUAUGGCGCUUCGGUCAUCGGACCCAGGAUAUGCUGACACAUUGUUGAGAAAUGCCAUUAAAGCCUUUCAAUUUGCUGACAAUUAUAGAGGAGCUUACAGUGACAACUCGAACAUUAGAGAUGGUGUCUGCCCAUUUUAUUGUGAUUUUGAUGGAUAUCAAGAUGAAUUGCUAUGGGGAGCAGCUUGGCUUAGGAGGGCAUCUUAUGAUGACACUUAUCUUAGUUACAUAGAGAGCAAUGGCAGAACCCUUGGAGCUGAUGACAAUAUUAAUGAGUUUGGCUGGGACAAUAAGCACGCUGGCCUAAAUGUUCUUGUCUCCAAGGUUAGUCUUAAUCUCAUACACUCUUGAUGAAAAUAAAAGUCACUUCAGUGCCAGGAACGUGGGUUUUCCCUUGAAGAGGGAUUUUUUGUGCCUAGACUGGUGACUCGAAAUACAAAAUAUGAUAGAUUCACUUAUUAAAUAUAUAAAUCUCACGUGUGUGUCUUAAAUUUAUAAUGAAUCGAAUUUAAGUAAAAAUUUCCUUUUCAAAAGAACUGAUAUAUACAACCUUACCCUUAAUUUGCAAAGAAGCUAUUCCGCGGGCUCAUUUUACCAUUACAUUAAAGCCAGUGAUGUAAUUAUAUAUAUUAUAUAUUUUUUAAUGUUAGAUUUGAUUUGUUUUUUUAUAGGAAGUCCUAGAAGGGAACAUGUACUCACUUGAAUCAUACAAGGCAUCAGCAGAUAGCUUCAUGUGCACACUUAUGCCAGAAUCAGCCUCCUCUCACAUAGAAUACACUCCUGGUGGCCUCAUUUACAAGCCAGGAGGAAGCAACUUGCAACAUGCAACAACAAUCUCAUUUCUGCUACUUGUUUAUGCAAAUUACCUAGAAAGAACAUCCCAAUCAGUCAAUUGUGGCAAUGUAAAUGUGGGUCCAUAUUCACUUCGUCGGCAGGCCAAGAGGCAAGUUGAUUACAUAUUAGGUGAUAAUCCAUUGGGAUUAUCUUACAUGGUUGGAUACAGUAACAAUUAUCCUCAACGUAUUCAUCAUCGUGGCUCAUCAUUACCAUCGAUUAAGGAUCACCCUGAAUUUAUCGCUUGCAAAGAGGGUUCAAUUUACUUCAACUCAACAAAUCCUAAUCCUAAUGUGCUUGUGGGUGCAAUUGUGGGUGGACCUAGUGAAGAUGACUCGUAUGGAGAUGAUCGAGCCGAUUAUAAGAAGUCUGAGCCCACUACAUAUAUUAAUGCACCAUUUGUUGGUGUGCUUGCUUAUUUCGCAGCAAAUCCUAAUUUUAGUUGAAACCCCACACCAAUUAUUUUUGUAUAUAAGUCAAUAUUUAUUGACAUUUCAAAAUAGGAAAAAAAAAAAGUAAAGAAAAGGAAGUCUCUUAUCUUGGCAAAGGUAAAGAUGGCAGAGGCCUGUUAUAUAAAUUCUGAAUUUGAAGAAUUGCAUCACAAAAUCUCAUUUGGAAAGUGAUUAUGAUUACAAGGAGAAUUUUGAGAUGUAAAAUCCAAAUAUAGGUUCAAAUUUGACAAUGGAAAUGAAAAAAAAUUUCAAUUUCUUUCAAGUUGUCUGGUCUUGCAUUAUUUGGCAUUUCAUGAUUAAGUCUAAUAAUUAAAUGAAGACAUUUGUCAGCU
rnacentral:misc_RNA from 1 species